rnacentral:rRNA from 1 species
AGUGAACGCUGGCGGUAGGCCUAACACAUGCAAGUCGAACGGCAGCACAGUAAGAGCUUGCUCUUACGGGUGGCGAGUGGCGGACGGGUGAGGAAUACAUCGGAAUCUACUUUUUCGUGGGGGAUAACGUAGGGAAACUUACGCUAAUACCUCAUACGACCUACGGGUGAAAGCAGGGGAUCUUCGGACCUUGCGCGAUUGAAUGAGCCGAUGUCGGAUUAGCUAGUUUGCGGGGUAAAGGCCCACCAAGGCGACGAUCCGUAGCUGGUCUGAGAGGAUGAUCAGCCACACUGGAACUGAGACACGGUCCAGACUCCUACGGGAGGCAGCAGUGGGGAAUAUUGGACAAUGGGCGCAAGCCUGAUCCAGCCAUACCGCGUGGGUGAAGAAGGCCUUCGGGUUGUAAAGCCCUUUUGUUGGGAAAGAAAAGCAGCAGGUUAAUACCCCGCUGUUCUGACGGUACCCAAAGAAUAAGCACCGGCUAACUUCGUG